rnacentral:rRNA from 1 species
UCCGGUCCGAGACGUUCCCCUUUCACCGGGUCCCCUUCCCCGGACCACCUGUGGAGCGGUGGCCAAGAUGAACUUUUUUGAAAUCUGACCUCAAAUCAGGUAGGACUACCCGCUGAACUUAAGCAUAUCAAUAAGCGGAGGAAAAGAAACUAACAAGGAUUCCCCUAGUAACUGCGAGUGAAGCGGGAAAAGCUCAAAUUUGAAAUCUGGCGGCUCUGCCGUCCGAGUUGUAUCCUGGAGAAGCGUCUUCUGUGCCGGACCGUGUACAAGUCCCUUGGAACAGGGCGUCGUAGAGGGUGAGAAUCCCGUCUUUGACACGGACCCCCGGUGCUACGUGAUGCGCUCUCGAAGAGUCGAGUUGUUUGGGAAUGCAGCUCAAAAUGGGUGGUAAAUUCCAUCUAAAGCUAAAUAUUGGCGAGAGACCGAUAGCGAACAAGUACCGUGAGGGAAAGAUGAAAAGCACUUUGGAAAGAGAGUAAAACAGUACGUGAAAUUGUUGAAAGGGAAACGCUUGAAGUCAGUCGCGUCUGACGGAACUCAGCCUUGCUUCUGCUCGGCGCACUUUCCGUCCCGACGGGCCAGCAUCGGUUUCGGGCGGCGGACACUGGCGCGGGGAAGGUGGCAGCUCCGGCUGCGUUAUAGCCCCUCGUCGCAAACGUCGGCUGGGACCGAGGAAUCCGGCGCGAGCCUGGGAUGCUGGCGUAAUGGCUUCAAACGACCCGUCUUGAAACACGGACCAAGGAGUGCUACGUGCUCGCGAGUGUUCGGGUGGAAAACCCGGGCGCGCAAUGAAAGUGAAAGUCGAUACCCCUYGCGGGGGCACCGACGCCCGAGCCUGAUGUUUUCGGACGGCCUUGCGGUAGAGCGAGUGUGUUGCGACCCGAAAGAUGGUGAACUAUUCCUGAGGAGGGCGAAGCCAGAGGAAACUCUGGUGGAGGCUCGUAGCGGUUCUGACGUGCAAAUCGAUCGCAGGACUUGGGUAUAGGGGCGAAAGACUAAUCGAACCAUCUAGUAGCUGGUUCCUGCCGAAGUUUCCCUCAGGAUAGCAGAAGCUCGUAUCAGAUUUAUGUGGUAAAGCGAAUGAUUAGAGGCCUUGGGGUUGAAACAACCUUAACCUAUUCUCAAACUUUAAAUAUGUAAGGACGAGCCGUCACUUGAUUGGACCGCUCGACGAUUGAGAGCUUCUAGUGGGCCAUUUUUGGUAAGCAGAACUGGCGAUGCGGGAUGAACCGAUCGCGAGGUUAAGGUGCCGGAAUGCACGCUCAUCAGACACCACAAAAGGUGUUAGUUCAUCUAGACAGCAGGACGGUGGCCAUGGAAGUCGGAAUCCGCUAAGGAGUGUGUAACAACUCACCUGCCGAAUGAACUAGCCCUGAAAAUGGAUGGCGCUCAAGCGUGCUACCCAUACCU